GAUGAACGCUGGCGGCGUGCUUAACACAUGCAAGUCGAGCGAUGAAGUUUUCUUCGGGAAAUGGAUUAGCGGCGGACGGGUGAGUAACACGUGGGUAACCUGCCUCAUAGAGUGGAAUAGCCUUUCGAAAGGAAGAUUAAUACCGCAUAAUGUUGAAAGAUGGCAUCAUCAUUCAACCAAAGGAGCAAUCCGCUAUGAGAUGGACCCGCGGCGCGUUAGCUAGUUGGUGGGGUAACGGCCUACCAAGGCGACGAUGCGUAGCCGACCUGAGAGGGUGAUCGGCCACAUUGGGACUGAGACACGGCCCAGACUCCUACGGGAGGCAGCAGUGGGGAAUAUUGCACAAUGGGGGAAACCCUGAUGCAGCAACGCCGCGUGAGUGAUGAAGGUUUUCGGAUCGUAAAGCUCUGUCUUUGGGGAAGAUAAUGACGGUACCCAAGGAGGAAGCCACGGCUAACUACGUGCCAGCCGCCGCCGCAG
rnacentral:rRNA from 1 species